rnacentral:rRNA from 1 species
ACAAGUUUAACGGCCGCGGUAUUUUGACCGUGCAAAGGUAGCGCAAUCACUUGUCUUUUAAAUAGAGACCCGUAUGAAUGGCCAAACGAGGGCUUAACUGUCUCCCUUUUCAAGUCAGUGAAAUUGAUCUACCCGUGCAGAAGCGGGUAUAACAAUACAAGACGAGAAGACCCUUUGGAGCUUAAGGUACAAAACUCAACCACACCAAGCAACUUAAUAAAAAGUAAAAACUUUGUGAAACAUGAGGUUUUACCUUCGGUUGGGGCGACCGCGGAGGAAAAUAAAGCCUCCAAGUGGACCGGGACAAACUCCUAAAACCAAGAGAAACAUCUCUAAGCCACAGAACAUCUGACCAAACAUGAUCCGGCCGCCAGGACCGAUCAACGAACCAAGUUACCCUAGGGAUAACAGCGCAAUCCUCUCCCAGAGUCCAUAUCGACGAGGGGGUUUACGACCUCGAUGUUGGAUCAGGACAUCCUAAUGGUGCAGCCGCUAUUAAGGGUUCGUUUGUUCAACGAUUAAAGUCCUACGUGAUC